rnacentral:rRNA from 1 species
CCCUUAUUGUUAGUUGCUACUAUUAAGUUAAGCACUCUAACGAGACUGCCGCGGUUAACGUGGAGGAAGGUGGGGAUGACGUCAAAUCAUCAUGCCCCUUAUGUCUAGGGCUACACACGUGCUACAAUGGCUGGUACAACGAGCAGCAAACCCGCGAGGGGGAGCAAAACUUGAAAGCCAGUCCCAGUUCGGAUUGUAGGCUGAAACUCGCCUACAUGAAGUUGGAGUUGCUAGUAAUCGCGAAUCAGCAUGUCGCGGUGAAUACGUUCCCGGGUCUUGUACACACCGCCCGUCACACCAUGAGAGCCGGUAACACCCGAAGCCCGUGAGGUAACCGUAAGGAGCCAGCGGUCGAAGGUGGGAUUGGUGAUUGGGGUGAAGUCGUAACAAGGUAGCCGUAGGAGAACCUGCGGCUGGAUCACCUCCUUUCUAGGGA